UGCAGUAGAACGCUGAAGAGAGGAGCUUGCUCUUCUUGGAUGAGUUGCGAACGGGUGAGUAACGCGUAGGUAACCUGCCUUGUAGCGGGGGAUAACUAUUGGAAACGAUAGCUAAUACCGCAUAACAAUGAAUGACCCAUGUUAUUUAUUUGAAAGGGGCAAUUGCUCCACUACAAGAUGGACCUGCGUUGUAUUAGCUAGUAGGUGAGGUAACGGCUCACCUAGGCGACGAUACAUAGCCGACCUGAGAGGGUGAUCGGCCACACUGGGACUGAGACACGGCCCAGACUCCUACGGGAGGCAGCAGUAGGGAGUCUUCGGCAAUGGGGGCAACCCUGACCGAGCAACGCCGCGUGAGUGAAGAAGGUUUUCGGAUCGUAAAGCUCUGUUGUAAGUCAAGAACGAGUGUGAGAGUGGAAAGUUCACACUGUGACGGUAGCUUACCAGAAAGGGACGGCUAACUACGUGCCAGCAGCCGCGGUAAUACGUAGGUCCCGAGCGUUGUCNCGGAUUUAUUGGGCGUAAAGCGAGCGCAGGCGGUUUGAAAAGUCUGAAGUUAAAGGCUGUGGCUCAACCAUAGUUCGCUUUGGAAACUGUCAAACUUGAGUGCAGAAGGGGAGAGUGGAAUUCCAUGUGUAGCGGUGAAAUGCGUAGAUAUAUGGAGGAACACCGGUGGCGAAAGCGGCUCUCUGGUCUGUAACUGACGCUGANGCUCGAAAAA
rnacentral:rRNA from 1 species